rnacentral:tRNA from 1 species
GGGCGUAUAGCCCAGCAGUAGAGCAUGUGCUUAGCAUGCACAAGGUCCUGGAUUCAAUCCCCAGGACUUCCA